CUUGGCACUCUCUUUGUAGACCAGGCUGGCCUCAAACUCACAGAGAUCCUCCUGCCUCUGCCUCCUGAGUGCUGGGAU
rnacentral:miRNA from 1 species